AUUGAACGCUGGCGGCAGGCCUAAUACAUGCAAGUCGAACGAGUGGCGGACGGGUGUGUAAUGUCUGGGAAACUGCCUGAUGGAGGGGGAUAACUACUGGAACCGGUAGCUAAUACCGCAUACCAUCGGAUGUGCCCAGAUGGGAUUAGCUAGUAGGUGGGGUAAAGGCUCACCUAGGCGACGAUCCCUAGCUGGUCUGAGAGGGUGACCGGCCACACUGGAACUGAGACACGGUCCAGACUCCUACGGGAGGCAGCAGUGGGGAAUAUUGCGCAAUGGGCGCAAGCCUGAUGCAGCCAUGCCGCGUGUAUGAUGAAGGCCUUCGGGUUGUAAAGUACUUUCAGCAGGGAAGCGUUACCCGCAGAGAAAGCACCGGCUAACUCCGUGCCAGCAGCCGCGGUAAUUC
rnacentral:rRNA from 1 species